UGUUCACCUCACUAACCCAGAGACAACAGAAGACAACACAGAGAAAAGGCCUUCAGGAGCACAUACUCUCUGUAGACCUUGAGUCAAACCUUCAAGCAGGUGUUUCAAUAGCUGUCACCAUACCUUACAUCACCUGAUCCAGGCGAAGAAAAGAGAGGACCCCUGUAAUCACAUCUCCCAUGAGCCAGUUGGAGUUGAAACAGUAAUUGACGAAAUGUAACAGCAUGCUUGGAUGUCAUCGGCAUUGUCAAGCCAUCAGCUCCAAAAGGGUCAGUCAUCCCGCUGUGACUCACUCACACUGGCCUCAGCUUUAAAAUAGACUUUGGCUGCCUUCGGAAAUACAGUAGCCUACUGUAAUUAGCAAUGCCACAUACACAGAAGCACAUUGGGUUAAUGUAAAAAUAAAUUUGCUUAAUCCCUCAGGUUUCAAUAGCUGUCGCCAUACCUUAUGUCACCUGAGUCAGGUAAAGAAAAGAGAGGAAAAGAGAAUUUAAAAAAGGGAAGCGGCAAAGGUGAGAAGAACAGGAAAGAAGAAAGAACACGCUCUAGAUUCAGGGCAUUGGCAAGAACACAUUAAACAUAAGUAAUUAACAUAACGUUAACAAAAGCGAAAUGCUCCAAGUUCUAAGAUGAAGGUUGUAAUAAAAAUUGAAAUGUAUUGAUCCCAGAAAUUAUCUCACAUUCCCUCAGGUGAUUGGUAAAAAAAAAACUGGGCAGCCAAAGUGCAGUGCCCAGGGAGCUAGUGUAAAGUGUCUUGCUCAAGGACAUACCUUGUGCAAAAACCAGCAUUAACCCUGGGACCUUCUCAGGUCAAUGCGAAAAAAAGAAUCACCAUGCUCACAACCAUGCUCCAGGAACUCGACCUUCAUGCUCUAUCAUUCCCGUCGGAGCGAGCCAAGGUCGCUUUCGCUGUGUCCCAUCUAUCAGGAAAAGCAGAAGCUUGGGCCACGACGGAGUGGCAAAAUAAAUCAGCCUGUCUAGCCUCAUUCAAAGCCUUUUCCGCAGCCCUGAAGCGCAUCUUUCAGGAGGUCACGCCGGGUCGAGAAGCCGCCCAGAACCUGGUGAGUCUCCAUCAGGGAGAUCGCUCCACUUACGCGUAUGCCAUCGAGUUUCGGACACUUGCCGCGGAGGCAGGUUGGGCCUCCAUAGCUUUGAGCCUUCAUCAAGGGUCUGUCUCGCAGAGUUAAAGACAGUUUAGCGGCCACCGAACCACCAGCCGACUUAGAUGAAUUAAUAGCCCUGGCCAUCAAGGUGGAUCGUCGGUUGUGGAGCAGCAUCAAAGAGCGCUGCGAGGAAAAAAGCACUAACCCACUUCGACACUCCAAGCCAAUGUCGCCCUCGGGCCUAGAAUUACCCAGCCACCCUGAACGCACUUCAUCGCAGGUCUUCCGGCAACACGCGCCAACUCACCAUGCCCACGCAGCCACUUUUUUUCUUCGUCUGACGAGCGCGGAGAAGUACUGCAGACGAACAUCAGGUCUGUGUUUAUAUUGUGGCCAACUCGGACAUAUUGCUAUUUCCUGCCCUGUAAAAGCCAAUGCUCACCAUUUGCCCGGAGGUUAGUGGUGAGCCAAUCCAAUCUUUGCAAAGCCUCCGUCCGGCCGUUACCCAUAGCCAUGUUCUCUGUGGGAACCCAGUCAGUUCAGCAGGCAGUUUUAGUAGACUCAGGGGCCGACGCCAGCCUCAUGGACGCAAAUCUGGUAAAGCGCCUGGCAGUGUCCACGUUUCCACUACCUUCCGCAUUGGAAGUCACGGCCUUAGAUGGUCACAGACUUUGGAAGGUCACGCACAGUACUGGUCCCAUUACUAUGUUUAUUCCGGACGCUCACUCAGAGCAGAUUCAUUUUCAUGUGGUCAAGUUUUCUGCACACACCCUGUGGUUCUUGGUUAUACCUGGCUCAGACGCCACAACCCCAACCUGGAUUGGAGGACAGGGGAAGUGACGGGCUGGGGAGCUGAGUGCCAAAACUCAUGUUUUUCUCCCAAUUCACAGUCGGUACCCAGCCUUGCCAGAAAAGGGAGAUCGACCUCUCGUCUGUUCCUUCCUGUUACCAUGACCUAGGAAAAGUCUUCAGUAAAAGGAGAGCCACUUCUCUUCCUCAGCACCGUCCCUAUGACUGCUGCAUUAAUCUACGUCCAGGUACCACACCUCCCAAGGAAAGGUUAUUCUCCCUCUCAGGUCCGGAACGAAAGGCCAUGUCAGAAUACAUUGAACAAUCCCUAGCUGCUGGAAUUAUCCGCCCAUCAUCUUUGCCAGCCGGUGCAGGUUUUUUUUUUCAUCUCUAAGAAAGAUGGCUCACUGCGCCCCUGCAUCAACUACCGCGGACUCAACGCCAUCACCGUCGGAGACUCUUAUGCCCUUCCUCUGCUCUCCUCAUCAUUCAAACUCCUUGCCGAAGUGAUGCAUACCAUCUGGUUCGCAUAAGAGAAGGGGAUGAGUGGAAAACAGCUUUCAACACUCCUGCCGGUCAUUACGAGUAUGUGGUAAUGCCUUUUGGUCUCACCAACGCCCCAGCGAUCUUCCAAUCCAUGGUCAACGACAUAUUGAGCCCUAUGAUCAAUGUCUUUGCUUUCGUGUAUGUAGAUGAUAUCCUGGUCUUCUCACACACUGAAGAAGAACACAGGGACCACAAUCGCCAAGUCUUGACAAAACUCUUUGAGCACAGUCUGUUUGUCAGAGCCGAGUAGUGCGGGUUUCACGCCACCACCAUCUCCUUCUUGGAUUCAUAAUUACCCCUGAGGGCAUCCAGAUGGAUCCAGCCAAGACGCAGGCCGUCGCCGACUGGCCUCAACCUCAGUGCCCCCGAGAUGUCCAGAGAUUCUUAGGCUUCGCCAACUUCUAUUGCCGCUUCAUUCACAGAUUUAGUUCCAUAGACUAAUCUCUCCAUAACUUAACCUCCUCUAAGGUCUCAUUCCAGUGGUCCCCCGAAGCUGAGACCGCCUUUCAGCGACUCAAGAAGGUCUUUACUACGGCUCCUGUCCUGCGCAUGCCUGAUCCUAGCCGUCAGUUCGCGGUGGAGGUGGAUGCCUCGGACUCUGGGGUUGGAGCGGUCCUCUCCCAGCGGGCUCCUCAAGGUGGGCGCUUGCAUCCUUGUGCGUUUCUCUCCAGGAAACUAUCCCCAGUGGAGCAGAACUACGAUAUUGGGAACAAGGAGCUGCUAGCGGUCAAGGUGGCCUUGGAGGAGUGGCGCCACUGGUUGGAGGGAGCUGAGCAACCUUUCUAAGUAUUCACAGACCACAAGAAUCUCAAGUAUAUUACCACUGCCAAGCGUCUCAACUCACGUCAAGCCUGUUGGGCCCUGUUCUUUGCCUGGUUCAAUUUUCACCUCUCAUUUCGCCCUGGAUCCAGAAACGGUAAACUGGAUGCACUAUCGAGAGUGCACGAGUCUGAGCCGGAGGUUAUGGAACACACCACCAUCCUGCCGACUUCCUGUCUUGUUGGUGGCGUCACCCGGUCCAUCGAGAGCCGUGUUCAGGAGGCUACUCGAGGUCUUCCAGUGCCUCCGUCCUGCCCACCCAAUCGGCUGUUCGUCCCUCCGGAGCUUCGGAGGUAGGUAGUCCACUGGGCCCACACCUCGUCCUUCAGUUGUCACCCUGGGGUCCAGCGGACUGCUUUCGUGAUCGGCAGUCGGUUCUGGUAGCCAUCUGUCCAAAGAGAUGUACAGGAGUACUUAGCUGCCUGUCCUGUUUGUUCCGCCCAUAAGUCAUCGCACAAGCCGCCUCCGGGGUUCCUCCAGCCUCUACCAGUCCCACAUCGUCCUUGGUCCCAUAUUGCCCUAGACUUCGUGACGGGCCUUCCACCGUCCAGGGUCCUCACAGUCAUUGAUCGAUUCUCCAGAUUAACCCACUUUGUCCCCCUACCUAAGCCUUCCUCAGCCAAGCAGACAGCCCAGGCGGUAUUGGAACAUGUCUUCCGGCUGCAUGGGUUCCCCAAGGACGUCAUCUCAGACCGAGGGCCUCAGUUCGUGUCUCGUUUUUGGAAAGAGUUAUGCGAUUUGCUUGGAGCCCAAGUAAGCCUUACCUCUGGUUACCACCCCGAAGCCAAUGGUCAGACGGAAUGCAUGAACCAGCAACUGGAAACCGGCCUCCGUCUCCUUGCUUUCACCAACCCGUCAUCCUGGAGCCAACAAUUACUUGUGCAAACGGAUACCAGCCGCCUCUCUUCCUGUCCUUGGAAAAAGAAGUCAAUAUCCCAUCUGCUCAUGCCCUGCUGAGACGCUACCGGCGCACCUGGGCCCAGGCUAGACGAACCAUGCUACUCACCUAGAAGCGCUACAAGAAGGCAGCAGACCGCCAUCGCUCCGAGGCUCCAACCUACACGGUCGGACAGCAAAUCUGGCUGUCCACGAAGGACUUCCCCAUCAAGUCAACUUCACGUAAGCUAUCACAGAAGUUCAUCGGUCCUUUCAUCAUUGAACGUAUUAUCAAUCCUUCUUCCUUCAGUCAUGUCCGGUUUUAUUUUCUUACUACUUCCUGAUUAGUCCACAUCCAGUUUACCCAGCUUCACUUCCAGUCCUUGUUAACCUCACCUGUUUUUCAUCAGUAAUCAGUCACUCAGUACUUAAGCACCAGUUCUUGCCUUGCCCAGUUGCCAGAUUGUCUACGUUUUUUCCUGACUAGCAUUCCAGCAUUCAUUGUACUCUUGCCUUUCGUGUUUUGAUCCUGUUUUGCCAUCGACCCUGCUUUUGCCUAACCUAUGACAGUCCUGUGCCGUAAGUUGACCUUUGCUUGUACUUUGACCUCGCCUCUGCAUGCUCCUUGUCGGAUCCUGUUUGCUACCACAACGUGUAUGACCUCCGCCUGCCUGACCUUUCUUGUUAAACUUCUUAACCUAACCGAGCCAACGCUGUGCAUUUGGGUCCUUCCUCCAUUGUCUGUUUAUGACAUGUGGGUGUUAUUCAAGGAUUUACACUGAUUGCUUUUCAAGUCAGCCUGUGACUGUGAUGUCAAUCAUUAGCCUGGGUGUAAUUUUCCUACAGGGAAAUUAUUUAUUAGAUGAGUAUUGCUGACAAAACUUUGCUAAAGAUGAACCAUAACUGAGAUGGGUACUUACCCAGGUGCUGGGUUUGGUGCAGAUCAUUGUCCUGAUCCUUAAACGAACCCACCUUGCCUGCAAAGCAGCCCCAGAGCAUCAGGGAGCCACCACCAUGCCUCACUGCAGAUAGGGUGUUCCUUUUCCACCAAAACACUAAUGAAUUGUCCUUUUAUUAAUAUUUUAUAUAUCAUGUCUGUUGUACAUCAAGAUCGCAUACACUAGGCAAAAACACUUAACAAGUGUUGGUGAACGUGUUGAAGUGUUGGUGAAGGUGCUAGAAAACGUUACAAGGAAAUUACCCAUGUGGCAGCUCAGUGCAGCUGUAGCAAACCCGGAGGUUAAAUUUGUGGUUUGCAUCAGCCUGAUGGAAAUCUGCACCAUUCUGUGCAAACAUCUGUGCCUUUUCCCAUAUUGAUGCUGAUCUUUGGUCUUUGAUUCAGUCAAUCGCUUUUGUCCACAUGGCUCCAAAAAUCUUGUGGUCUGUGUGUCUUUGUAGUAAUAUAAUUCAACAUUAUGCCUCCCAUCUUCAGCUGCGUGCCGGAACAUUUUGCUUCUAUUUCCUUUUUCAUGAAAGACAAUUAUCUCUUCCUUUCUCUCAACAUAAAUCUUGACAAUUGUGUAUUUGAAGCACGCCUGGUGCAACUAGUCUAGCUCUUCAAUAGUUUAAAACAUGUUUUUUACCAUCACCAUCUCCAAUAAAAAAUAAUUGUAUUUCUGAAUGAAACCUUGAGUAAUUUCAGGACUUUAUUGUAAAUACACAGUAGGUAAUAGAAGCAGUAUUUUCUUCGAUAAGGAUGUGCCAUCAGUUAUUAUUUUCAGUAACCUAGCAAUGGUUACAGCAUUCAUGUUUCAUCAUUCGGAAGUGUCUCUGCUGAGCUUCUGACAAUACCAGACAUAAAAAACUAACACACAAACAAAACAAAACUGAAGCCUCUUAUGUUUACAGUUGUUGUUUAUACUGUGUCAGAUCUUGAUGCUGUUUCAGUCAUUUUUUCCUAUAAGGCUCUGAAGCAGGCUGAAUUUCUGAUAGUCCCAGAACAACAACAUGUUGUUGUUGUUAAGGGGUUGAUGUUGAGAAGAAA